rnacentral:rRNA from 1 species
UGCAGUCGAGGGGUAGAAGUUGCUUGCACUUUGAGACCGGCGCACGGGUGCGUAACGCGUAUGCAAUCUACCUUGUACAGGGGGAUAGCCCAGAGAAAUUUGGAUUAAUACCCCAUAGUAUUAUUGAAUGGCAUCAUUUAAUUAUUAAAGUUCCAACGGUACAAGAUGAGCAUGCGUCCUAUUAGCUAGUUGGUGUGGUAACGGCACACCAAGGCUACGAUAGGUAGGGGUCCUGAGAGGGAGAUCCCCCACACUGGUACUGAGACACGGACCAGACUCCUACGGGAGGCAGCAGUGAGGAAUAUUGGACAAUGGGCGCAAGCCUGAUCCAGCCAUGCCGCGUGCAGGAAGAAGCAUCUAUGGUGUGUAAACUGCUUUUGUACGGGAAGAAACACUGCUACGUGUAGCAGCUUGACGGUACCGUAAGAAUAAGGAUCGGCUAACUCUGUGCCAGCAGCCGCGGUAAUACGGAGGAUCCAAGCGUUAUCCGGAAUCAUUGGGUUUAAAGGGUCCGUAGGCGGUCUAAUAAGUCAGUGGUGAAAGCCCAUCGCUCAACGAUGGAACGGCCAUUGAUACUGUUAGACUUGAAUUAUUGGGAAGUAACUAGAAUAUGUAGUGUAGCGGUGAAAUGCUUAGAUAUUACAUGGAAUACCAAUUGCGAAGGCAGGUUACUAUCAAUAUAUUGACGCUGAUGGACGAAAGCGUGGGGAGCGAACAGGAUUAGAUACCCUGGUAGUC